rnacentral:rRNA from 1 species
UACAGAGGUCCCAAGCGUUGUUCGGAUUCACUGGGCGUAAAGGGUGCGUAGGCGGUCGGGUAAGUCUGACGUGAAAUCUUCAAGCUUAACUUGGAAACUGCGUCGGAUACUAUUCGGCUUGAGGAAUGGAGGGGAGACUGGAAUACUUGGUGUAGCAGUGAAAUGCGUAGAUAUCAAGUGGAACACCAGUGGCGAAGGCGAGUCUCUGGACAUUUCCUGACGCUGAGGCACGAAAGCCAGGGGAGCAAACGGG